rnacentral:rRNA from 1 species
GACAGAGGGUGCAAACGUUGCUCGGAAUUACUGGGCGUAAAGCGCGUGUAGGCGGACUGGUGUGUCGGAUGUGAAAUCCCCAGGCUCAACCUGGGAACUGCAUUCGAAACUGCCAGCCUUGAGUGGUGGAGAGGGAAGUGGAAUUCCUGGUGUAGUGGUGAAAUGCGUAGAGAUCCGGAGGAACACCAGUGGCGAAGGCGACACGCUGGGCCGUACCUGACACUGAACCGCGACAGCAUGGGGAGCAAACAGG